CCUACGGGAGGCAGCAGUGGGGAAUAUUGCUCAAUGGGCGAAAGCCUGAAGCAGCGACGCCGCGUGCGGGAUGAAGGCCCUCGGGUUGUAAACCGCUUUCAGCAGGAACGAAAUUGACGGUACCUGCAGAAGAAGGCCCGGCCAACUACGUGCCAGCAGCCGCGGUAAU
rnacentral:rRNA from 1 species